CAAUAGCGUAUAUUAAAAUUGCUGUAGUUAAAAAGCUCGUAGUUGGAUUUCUGGAAUGAAGAUCCGGUCCGCUUGCCUUUGGUGAGUGUGUACUAUGGAUUAUCGUUCCAUUUUACUAGAGCUGCUUUCUGCCAUUAAGUUGGUGGGAAGCUUUGUUCUAGUUCUUUUACUGUGAAUAACUCAGCUUGCCCCAGAAAGGCAUUUGCCAUAUUUUGAAUGUAUUAGCAUGGAAUAAUAAGAUAAGACUUUGGUGGUCUGUUUUGUUGGUUUACACGCCAGAGUAAUGAUUAAUAGGGACAGUUGUGGAUAUCUAUAUUGCAAUGUCAGAGGUGAAAUUCUUGGAUCAUUGCAAGAUAAACUAAUGCGAAAGCAUUUAUCAAGGAUGUUUUCUUUAA
rnacentral:rRNA from 1 species